ACAUGGCAAGCUCCGCCCUCACAGCAGCCACAACCAAUCCUGCCGAGGAGAGCAGAAGAGCAUGAGACCACCUUCCGUCUGUCUCUGAGGGAAAGGGAUUACUACCCUGAUUCCCGCCCCCCCCCACACACACAACUGCAGGAGAAAGGGAAGGGGGGAAAGACAGACCCUUGGUGGGAGGGUAAGGAAGGUGAGGCAGCAAAAGUGCGCCAGGUGGGGAACAGAGAGUGAGUAAAGAGUGAGCACACGCGAGAAAGCCGAGCCUGUGGAGGAGGAAGACAGGAGAUAGACUGAAAAACACUGAAGACACACACAGACUUCUUCUCUUGAACUUGAACCCCCUCAAGCCAAUCAUCUUUCAAGUAUGUAAGAUCCCGCUCAGGUUGAAUUAGGAAGGCCUCACUCCGAAUGCAUAUGUGCACACCGUGCCUUGAUACUGCUGCCCAAAACUCAUUCUGCACAGAGAUUAAAAAAAAAUUAGAGGGACCACUGUUUUCAUGAUGCUCUAUUGUAUUGUGAUCAUCCAUUCUAAGGAUACGAUGCAAUGUAGAAAUAAAGACUUGAAACAAAGAACAGGUGAAGGAGCCAGCAUCUAA